rnacentral:lncRNA from 10 species
CUGGACGGGGCAGGAGCGACGGGGGGAGUGAGGAGGGGGCCUGGACCGGGCAGGAGCGACGGGGGGAGUGAGGAGGGGGCCUGGACGGGGCAGGAGCGACGGGGGGAGUGAGGAGGGGGCCUGGACGGGGCAGGAGCGACGGGGGGAGUGAGGAGGGGGCCUGGACGGGGCAGGAGCGACGGGGGGAGUGAGGAGGGGGCCUGGACGGGGCUGGAGCGAUGGGGAAGAGAGUGCGGUGGGGUCCCUUGGUUCCCGUCCCCAGGAAGCCGGCGAGAUGGAACUGGCAUCUAUCGGGCCCUGACCGUGCUGGGGGCUGCACCGGCUCGGAAAGAAACCGAUCAGUGCAGGCACCAGUGCUUGACGGUCAGCUUGGGCCUGGGAUCCUGACCCUGCACCCGGGCUCUGAGAGGGAGAACUGUGGCGUUUGCUCAGCCAAGCCCGGACAGCUUAGCCGCCAGCCCCCUCCACCUUCCCGCAGCCCUUCUCUUCCCCAGAGGUCAGAAGCCAGGCAGGAAGACCUAAGAGGGGCUAUCUGUUGAGGCCCCAGGGAGGGAGGAAGCCUGUCCCUGCCCUGAGGGCCUGACCCCAGGCUAGGUCUCAAGAGAGGCUGGAAGCCAGAGGCCUGAGGCCAGUCCCGUUGCUGACGCGGAUGUGGUCCAGCUGGGGCCCUGACAGGACCCCGGGCCACGGGCCUUCCUGCUCCCGCCACUCCUCCCACCGCCUGAACUUGUGCUGAGAUCCUGCACCCAACCAGCUGAUGCCUGAGCGGGAAAGGAUUCUAGGGCCAGAUCCGUGCUGGCCUGGCCAAGACUCUUGGAACCACCCUGCUGUCCCGGGCUGUCUCUGCUGGAGCCUCUUUGCUCCCGCCCCCUUUGCAAGUGUCUGACCCGCAUCCCACUACUCCCGCUCCUCGUCCCUCUGCCUCUCCAAGAGCUGUGCUCCCACGGCCUUCCCUCUGGCCUCACAGCCACCACCACGUCCCCCCUCCUCACGUCCAGGUCAGCCCUCAAGGGAAUCUGAACUCCUCCACGACCAGAAGCCACACAGAACUAGCUCAAAGGUCCCCUUCCCAGGACACCGACUCCCAGAGGACCCAGACCCAGACCUUUCAGCCCAAGGAAUGGGAUGAUGUCAGGGGUUCCAGGUGGAGACGAGGACUCCCAGGCCCAGACUCAUGCCUUGCCCAGCCCCAGGAGACGGAGUUUCAGAAGCAUACCUGGGACAAGUCUAAAAAUCAGAUGGGGACUUUAUUGUGAUGGUGGCAGGUCCACCAGCAGAUGCAAAUGUGGGGUGCUGAGAGUGGCAACACAGGCCACCCCAAACCAACUUCACUCCCUCCCCUGUCCUCAGCCAGUACAGAAGCCAAAUGUAGCCCCAGCCCUAGACUCCAGCCCAGGCAGAGUCCAAGGGAGGGGUGUCAGGGGGUGCAGCCCCAGGUGGCCCAAAGCAACACAGAGGAGCAAGGGC